GGACCCAAAUGCAGAACACAGGAAACCAGGAACAGAUGAUAACGACGUUUAAUGUCAAAGCUUGGCAGGCACAGAGCAGGACAGAUAAUGAGCAUAGGGUAAAUACAAAAGUUCGAGUAGACGAACCAGUAGGGGACAGGCAGAAGGUCGUGACCGGGCACGGAGCUGGAGAGUCUGCACAACAAUCUGGCACUGAGUGGUUUGAGCAGGAGAGGCUAAAAUACUGGCUUGAUUUGGAGAUGAGAUGCAGCUGGAGCCCAGGUGAGCUGAUGAGGUGGGAGGAGCUGUCUGGUGAGGUGGAGGCAGGGUGGAGCUGAUCCCUCCAAAUCCAAAAUGGCAGAAACGAGAAAACAAGCUCAGGCAGAACAAGCCUCAGCCCUGCAGUCACAGCUGCUGGACCAGUGUAACGGCAGCAACAGGAGUCUGCAGUUCCCCGGUGCUGCUAACUGAAGCUACGCUGUUUCCUGCGGCUACCGACAGAGAAACAGCCUCCUGGCAGCUGUGAGGACGAAGCCUCUACGACUAUAAUACAAUAAACAAACUAUAACAACAGACACAGAACAUGGCUGUAAUAUUUAGUCAGGCAGCUGCACUUCUUCUCUCUGUACUGAGGCAGACUGGAGCUGCAGUGACUCACUAUCACCUCUAGAGGAACAAGUGGUAUUACAGGCUGGACAGAGCGCAGCUAGCUGUUAGCAUGCUAACUUCAGGAGAUAUCUCUGCACAGAGACGUCUGUGACAUAACAUCAACACUGUUACCCGUCACAUUCUGUUAGAUGUUAGAUGUAAGUUUAAAGAAAAGACAAAAAAAUACAUUUUAUUUGCUAUUUCUUUCUUUCCUGGUUUUAAGACGUGUCUGAUGAAGCCUUUUCUUGUCAUGUGUUUGUUUGUAUGCCUUCCACUUUUCAAACUUCGUCAGCUCCAGCUGAAAAAUAGAUGGAAAUGUUGACCUGGAAGAAUCCAGAGCGGUAACCUUCAGACAAGUUUUAUAUUGCAAAAGGUGUUCGACAAGAUUAUGUAAUAAGAAAAAUCAAAUAAAGUGAUUUAACAACUUUCUUGA
rnacentral:lncRNA from 1 species